UACAGAGGGGGCAAGCGUUGUUCGGAAUUACUGGGCGUAAAGGGCGCGUAGGCGGCCUUCUAAGUCGAACGUGAAAUCCCCGGGCUCAACCCGGGAACUGCGUCCGAUACUGGAAGGCUUGAAUCCGGGAGAGGGAUGUGGAAUUCCAGGUGUAGCGGUGAAAUGCGUAGAUAUCAGGAGGAACACCGGUGGCGAAGGCGGCGACCUGGACCGACACUGACGCUAAUAUACGAAAGCGUGGGGAGCAAACAGG
rnacentral:rRNA from 1 species